rnacentral:rRNA from 1 species
AUGUCUGGGAAACUGCCUGAUGGAGGGGGAUAACUACUGGAAACGGUAGCUAAUACCGCAUAACGUCGAAAGACCAAAGAGGGGGACCUUCGGGCCUCUUGCCAUCGGAUGUGCCCAGAUGGGAUUAGCUUGUUGGUGGGGUAAUGGCUCACCAAGGCGACGAUCCCUAGCUGGUCUGAGAGGAUGACCAGCCACACUGGAACUGAGACACGGUCCAGACUCCUACGGGAGGCAGCAUG